rnacentral:rRNA from 1 species
GGUGAACGCUGGCGGUAUGCUUAACACAUGCAAGUCGAGCGGGCCCUUCGGGGUCAGCGGCGGACGGGUUAGUAACGCGUGGGAACGUGCCUUCUGCUUCGGAAUAGCCCUGGGAAACUGGGGGUAAUACCGGAUGUGCCCUGAGGGGGAAAGAUUUAUCGGCAGGAGAUCGGCCCGCGUCUGAUUAGGUAGUUGGUGGGGUAAUGGCCCACCAAGCCGACGAUCGGUAGCUGGUUUGAGAGGAUGAUCAGCAACACUGGGACUGAGACACGGCCCAGACUCCUACGGGAGGCAGCAGUGGGGAAUCUUAGGCAAUGGGCGCAAGCCCGAUCUAGCCAUGCCGCGUGGGUGAUGAA